rnacentral:lncRNA from 1 species
UUACACUUCUUAGGCAGCUGUGUUGUUUUGUUUACUUUUUUGAAAAUUUGUGAAAAUUGAAUAAAAAGUUAAUAAAACAAUGAAUGCAAAAUGGAUCCAUGCAGGAGAUUGCUUUUAGUGGGAUUGGCGGCUUUUGCAUGAACGGAGGAGGAGGACAAAUUAUAACUCAUAUAAAUACACAUAUAGAUAUGUGUACAUUUAUGGAAACCAUUGAAACGAUACCCUUUGCAUAUUCCGCAGUUUGAAAAUAUGACAGAGAAUUUGCAUAUGGCUGGGAAUAACAUCUGCAGACUUCUUUGAUUGGUGGAGCAGCAAGGCCGUUCCAAGGAAUAUUUGCGGACGUUGCAAAGUUGUAAAACGGCGCCUCCAAGCACCUAUUCAAAAUUGGAUAGUUUUGAUUCCAAAUCGCCGCCAUCGCCGCCAUCGCCCCUUGGCACGACCCUGUAGAGCAGCACUUGGUCCCAAAAGGAAAACAACUUAACACAUUUUGUUAACAGCCCAGCCGGGUCUGUGUCUUGGCAAAAUGAAUCUACUGGCGUUCAAAUAAGUUAAAUAUAUUAGAAAUGCAAAUAAAUUCAAUAUAAUCUCAUUCAUCUGAAAUAAUUGUUUCCUUUUUGCCGUUUGAUGGCCUUAGGCUCGUUUAGGAGCAUGACCAAUCUUUCAACUUCAGUGGCAUUGUUGCCUCCAUUUGAUUGAGACUACACUCUCUGUUUGCUAGGUACGCUCUCGGAAAUGAAAACAUCUUUAUUUUUCG